AGAAUGAACGCUGGCGGCGUGCUUAACACAUGCAAGUCGAACGGAAUCCAAGGAGCUUGCUCUGGAAGAUUUAGUGGCGAACGGGUGAGUAUCACGUGAGCAACCUGCCCCGAAGACUGGGAUAACACCGGGAAACCGGUGCUAAUACCGGAUACCUUCCAAUGACCGCAUGGUCGAUGGAAGAAAUGUUUUUCGCUUCGGGAGGGGCUCGCGGUCCAUCAGCUUGUUGGCGGGGUAACGGCCACCAAGGCUUCGACGGAUAGCUGGUCUGAGAGGACGAUCAGCCACACUGGAACUGAGACACGGUCCAGACUCCUACGGGAGGCAGCAGUGGGGAAUCUUGCGCAAUGGACGAAAGUCUGACGCAGCAACGCCGCGUGAGGGGCGAAGGUUUUCUGAAUUGUAAACCUCUUUCGACAGGGACGAUAAUGACGGUACCUGUAGAAGAGCACCGGCAACUAUGCGCCAGCAGCCGCGGU
rnacentral:rRNA from 1 species